AAGUCGUAACAAGGUAACCGUAGGUGAACCUGCGGUUGGAUCAUUAGUAAAUUUUGAAUAUAUCAAUGUGGAAAACUUAAUUUUAUUAAGUUAGUACCGUUGAACCUUUUGUGCAUUGUUUUUUUAUUUUACUUUAUUUAUUGCUUUUUAUAGAUUGUAAUUAUUACAACUUCUGACAAUGGAUCUCUUGGCUCUU
rnacentral:misc_RNA from 1 species